rnacentral:rRNA from 1 species
CAGUCGCCGCGGUAAUACGUAGGUGGCAAGCGUUGUCCGGAAUUAUUGGGCGUAAAGGGCUCGCAGGCGGUUUCUUAAGUCUGAUGUGAAAGCCCCCGGCUCAACCGGGGAGGGUCAUUGGAAACUGGGAACCUUGAGUGCAGAAGGGGAGAGUGGAAUUCCACGUGUAGCGGUGAAAUGCGUAGAGAUGUGGAGGAACACCAGUGGCGAAGGCGACUCUCUGGUCUGUAACUGACGCUGAGGAGCGAAAGCGUGGGGAGCGAACAGGAUUAGAUACCCCGGUAGUCCCUGUCUCUUAUAC